CUCCGGGGAACAAGGUGAAGCAGCCAGUGGCGAAAAGGAAAAGCUCAUUACAGGGCGCUGCGAAACAAGCAGUCAGAUGACAAAAAAACACUGUCAUUUGUUAUUAGUUUUUAUAUAUUGUGGGAUCCCUGACUUUCAUCGAAGAGGAGAGUGAAGAACGUUCAGGAAAGAAGACACAAAAAGCCGAGAAAACUACGAAAUGAACGGGAGGCAGCAGACAUGAUGUCACUCACAGGCCCGGGUAACGAGAACUCCAUGCCUGAGUGAAUACUGCCGCUCCCAGAUCAAACCAGCUCAAGAGGCUUUGAAUAAACAAAAAGAAGGCAGAAAAAUUGCUGAAUCCUUAACCAACCUGAAAGACAACUUGUUGCUAACGUGCUAAUGACCACCUCCUCAUCUGCUCUCACAAAGAAGACACAUGCAUCAGCGCAUCAUCACUACACAUGAUUCCUAUCCAUCCCAUUCU
rnacentral:lncRNA from 1 species